rnacentral:rRNA from 1 species
AACGAACGCUGGCGGCAUGCCUAACACAUGCAAGUCGAACGAGACCUUCGGGUCUAGUGGCGCACGGGUGCGUAACGCGUGGGAACCUGCCCUUAGGUUCGGAAUAACUCCCCGAAAGGGGUGCUAAUACCGGAUAAUGUCUUCGGACCAAAGAUUUAUCGCCUUUGGAUGGGCCCGCGUUGGAUUAGCUGGUUGGUAGGGUAAAAGCCUACCAAGGCGACGAUCCAUAGCUGGUCGGAGAGGAUGAUCCGCCACACUGGGACUGCGACACGGCCCAGACUCCUACGCGAGGCAGCAGUAGGGAGUAUUGGGCAAUGGGCGAAAGCCUGAUCCAGCAGUGCCGCGUGAGUCAUGCAGGCCUUAGGGUUGUAAUGCUCUUUUACCCGGGAUGAUAAUGACAGUACCGGGUGAAUAAGCUCCGGCUAACUCCGUG